CAGUAGCCACGGGAAUACGGAGGGGGCUAGCGUUGUUCGGAAUUACUGGGCGUAAAGCGCACGUAGGCGGCUUGGUAAGUUAGAGGUGAAAGCCCGGAGCUCAACUCCGGAAUUGCCUUUAAGACUGCCGAGCUAGCAGGUGAGAGAGGUAAGUGGAAUUCCGAGUGUAGAGGUGAAAUUCGUAGAUAUUCGGAAGAACACCAGUGGCGAAGGCGGCUUACUGGCUCAUACUGGACGCUGAGGUGCGAAAGCGUGGGGAGCAAACAGGAUUAGAUACCCCGGUAGUCCCUGUCUCUUAUAC
rnacentral:rRNA from 1 species